AGGAGCGGGGGAUAACUACUCGAAAGAGUGGCUUAAUACCGCAUACGCCCUACGGGGGAAAGGGGGGGAUCGCAAGACCUCUCACUAUUGGAGCGGCCGAUAUCGGAUUAGCUAGUUGGUGGGGUAAAGGCUCACCAAGGCAACGAUCCGUAGCUGGUUUGAGAGGACGACCAGCCACACUGGGACUGAGACACGGCCCAGACUCCUACGGGAGGCAGCAGUGGGGAAUUUUGGACAAUGGGGGAAACCCUGAUCCAGCCAUCCCGCGUGUAUGAUGAAGGCCUUCGGGUUGUAAAGUACUUUUGGCAGAGAAGAAAAGGCAUCCCCUAAUACGGGAUGCUGCUGACGGUAUCUGCAGAAUAAGCACCGGCUAACUACGUGCCAGCAGCCGCGGUAAUACGUAGGGUGCAAGCGUUAAUCGGAAUUACUGGGCGUAAAGCGUGUGUAGGCGGUUCGGAAAGAAAGAUGUGAAAUCCCAGGGCUCAACCUUGGAACUGCAUUUUUAACUGCCGAGCUAGAGUAUGUCAGAGGGGGGUAGAAUUCCACGUGUAGCAGUGAAAUGCGUAGAUAUGUGGAGGAAUACCGAUGGCGAAGGCAGCCCCCUGGGAUAAUACUGACGCUCAGACACGAAAGCGUGGGGAGCAAACAGGGUUAGAUACCCUGGUAGUCCACGCCCUAAACGAUGUCAACUAGCUGUUGGGGCCGUUAGGCCUUAGUAGCGCAGCUAACGCGUGAAGUUGACCGCCUGGGGAGUACGGUCGCAAGAUUAAAACUCAAAGGAAUUGACGGGGACCCGCACAAGCGGUGGAUGAUGUGGAUUAAUUCGAUGCAACGCGAAAAACCUUACCUACCCUUGACAUGUCUGGAAUGCCGAAGAGAUUUGGCAGUGCUCGCAAGAGAACCGGAACACAGGUGCUGCAUGGCUGUCGUCAGCUCGUGUCGUGAGAUGUUGGGUUAAGUCCCGCAACGAGCGCAACCCUUGUCAUUAGUUGCUACGCAAGAGCACUCUAAUGAGACUGCCGGUGACAAACCGGAGGAAGGUGGGGAUGACGUCAAGUCCUCAUGGCCCUUAUGGGUAGGGCUUCACACGUCAUACAAUGGUCGGGACAGAGGGUCGCCAACCCGCGAGGGGGAGCCAAUCUCAGAAACCCGAUCGUAGUCCGGAUCGCAGUCUGCAACUCGACUGCGUGAAGUCGGAAUCGCUAGUAAUCGCGGAUCAGAAUGUCGCGGUGAAUACGUUCCCGGGUCUUGUACACACCGCCCGUCA
rnacentral:rRNA from 1 species